rnacentral:lncRNA from 1 species
UGCAGUUGACUUAGAUCAAGUAUCUAAAUAGAUAAUUAAAAGAAAAACUCAAAUUUGAGUAUUUCUCUUCUAGUUUUUAAUUUUCGGCAACGAAACAUUGAAAAUGAAGGGUAGCUGUGCUCUUUUUCUUCUUCUUAGGGGCCACUAAAGAAGCCGUCCAAUGUGGGGAGGAAGAAGAAAAAGCAGAAAGUACAUAGAUGAUCACAUAGGAA